AAAUUCUUUGGUUCUGCAAACCGAUUGUUGCAGCAGUUGUCCAAGUGGCUGGUCUCAGAUGAUCUUGGAAGUGAACAUGUUGGUUGUGGAGGUCCUGGGCUGCCGUGGCUACAUGUGGUCUGCGAUUUUGAGGCCUGUUGGAUGAGCUGCCAAAUUCUCUGAAAUGCCUUUGGAGAUGGCUAAUGGUAGAGAAAUGAACAUUCAAUUCAUGGGCAACAGCUCUGGUGGACAUUUCUGCAAUCAGCAUGUCAAUUACACUCUCCCUCAAAACAUGCAGCAUCUGUGGCAUUGUGCUGUGUGAUAAAACUCAACAUUUUAGAGUGACCUUUUAUUGUGGCCUGCCUAAGGCACACCUGUGCAGUAAUCAUGCUGUCUAAUCAGCAGCUGUCUAAUAUGCCACACCUUUGAGGUGUGGCAUAUCUCGUCAAAGGAGAAGUGCUCAGUAACACAGAUUUAGACAACACUGUAAUCAAUAUUUGAGAGAAAUAGGUCUUUUGUGUAUGCAGAAAAAGUUUUGGAUCUUUGAGUUCAGCUCAUGAAAAAUGGGAG